rnacentral:rRNA from 1 species
UCAGGCCUAACACAUGCAAGUCGAGCGCGAACGACCCCUUCGGGGGACUAGUAGAGCGGCGGACGGGUGAGUAAUACAUGGAUAAUCUCCCUUCGAGCUCGGGAUAACAGUGCGAAAGCGCUGCUAAUACCGGAUAAGACCACGAGGCCCAGGCCUUGCGGGAAAAGGUGGCUUUGUUUUCGGAUGAGGCUAUCACUUGAUGAUGAGUCCAUGGCCUAUCAGCUUGUUGGCGAGGUAACGGCUCACCAAGGCAAUGACGGGUAGCUGGUCUGAGAGGACGACCAGCCACACUGGGAUUGAGACACGGCCCAGACUCCUACGGGAGGCAGCAGUGGGGAAUAUUGGGCAAUGGGCGAAAGCCUGACCCAGCGACGCCGUGUGGGUGAUGAAGGCCUUCGGGUUGUAAAGCCCUGUUGGGUGGAAAGAAGGGCUUCUGGACGAAUAAUCCAGGAGCCUUGACGGUACCGCAAGAAUAAGCCCCGGCUAACUUCGUGCCAGCCGCCGCGGUAAUACGAAGGGGGCUAGCGUUGCUCGGAAUC